rnacentral:rRNA from 1 species
AACGAACGCUGGCGGCAGGCUUAACACAUGCAAGUCGAACGCGUGUAGCAAUACACGAGUGGCGCACGGGUGAGUAACGCGUGGAUAUCUGCCUUUUGGUUCGGAAUAACCCCGGGAAACUGGGGCUAAUACCGGAUGGUUCCUUCGGGAUAAAGAUUUAUCGCCAAAAGAUGAGUCCGCGUACGAUUAGCUAGUUGGUGAGGUAAUGGCCCACCAAGGCGACGAUCUAUAGCUGGUCUGAGAGGAUGAUCAGCCACACUGGGACUGAGACACGGCCCAGACUCCUACGGGAGGCAGCAGUGGGGAAUAUUGGACAAUGGGCGCAAGCCUGAUCCAGCCAUGCCGCGUGUGUGAUGAAGGCCUUAGGGUUGUAAAGCACUUUCAACGGUGAAGAUAAUGACGGUAACCGUAGAAGAAGCCCCGGCUAACUUCGUGCCAGCAGCCGCAGUAAUAC